CCUACGGGUGGCAGCAGUGGGGAAUAUUGGACAAUGGGGGCAACCCUGAUCCAGCCAUGCCGCGUGGGUGAAGAAGGCCCUCGGGUUGUAAAGCACUUUCAGUGAGGAAGAACGCCUGGUGGUUAAUACCCAUCAGGAAAGACAUCACUCACAGAAGAAGCACCGGCUAACUCCGUGCCAGCAGCCGCGGUAAUACGGAGGGUGCGAGCGUUAAUCGGAAUUACUGGGCGUAAAGCGCGCGUAGGUGGCUUGAUAAGCCGGUUGUGAAAGCCCCGGGCUCAACCUGGGAACGGCAUCCGGAACUGUCAAGCUAGAGUGCAGGAGAGGAAGGUAGAAUUCCCGGUGUAGCGGUGAAAUGCGUAGAGAUCGGGAGGAAUACCAGUGGCGAAGGCGGCCUUCUGGACUGACACUGACACUGAGGUGCGAAAGCGUGGGUAGCAAACAGGAUUAGAUACCCCUGUAGUC
rnacentral:rRNA from 1 species